CACAGCUCAUUAGCAGUGACUAAUCCAAGGUUUCUCAUGACUGGUCAGUGCACUUCCAAGGAGUUAGAUAUGCCAAGUACAGACGGCUUACACCUGAAAUCCCAGCAUUCAGGAGCCUGAGUUCAAGGCCAGCUAUAUUCAGGUAACAAGAUCUUAUCUCCAACAAACAAACAAACAAACUAAAAAGCCAAGGAUAAACUUA
rnacentral:lncRNA from 1 species